AUUUGGAUUCACAUUCAAUUAGUAAUCCAAAAUCCAAAAGUUACCUAUUUUUCUUUUAUCCUUCUACAGUUGCAUAUCCUCAAAGGGCACUGCUUUACCCUGACUGAGCUAGCACUAGCUCUUGCUUUUAACUUAGGGCUGCAGUUUGUCUCUACCAGCCAUCCCUGGUACCCACACUCCUAAGCAUACUUUAUUUAAGAUUUCUGUAACUUCUGGGGGUACAACAUUGUUUUUCUCAGUUUGUAUUAAAGCCAGACUUACAAUUUGCCAUCAGUUAAUCUUGUUUGACCCUUAGCUCCAGUUUUAUUGAAUUUAAUCUCUGCAUCCAUUUGUUCUAAUAAGUCUUGCCAGGGUAACGUUUUUCUUUUAUCCUUCUACAGUUGCAUAUCCUCAAAGGGCACUGCUUUACCCUGACUGAGCUAGCACUAGCUCUUGCUUUUAACUUAGGGCUGCAGUUUGUCUCUACCAGCCAUCCCUGGUACCCACACUCCUAAGCAUACUUUAUUUAAGAUUUCUGUAACUUCUGGGGGUACAACAUUGUUUUUCCCAGUUUGUAUUAAAGCCAGACUUACAAUUUUCCAUCAGUUAAUCUUGUUUGACCCUUAGCUCCAGUUUUAUUGAAUUUAAUCUCUGCAUCCAUUUGUUCUAAUAAGUCUUGCC
ensembl:lncRNA